UCAGCCGUUUGGCCUGCUGCACGGCGGCGCCUCGGCGGCGCUGGCGGAGACGCUGGGUUCGAUGGCCGGUUGGCUGAU
rnacentral:tRNA from 1 species